UCACGGGAAAAUUCGAUUUUGAGGUUUUGGCGAAAAACUCGAUUUUGAUUUUUUGGCGGGAAAACUCGAUUUCGAAGUUUUGACGAAAAACUCGAUUUUGUUGUUUUAGUUGAAAACUCGAUUUUGCGGUUUCGACGGAAAAUUUCGUUGUUCAGUUUUUGGCGAGAAAACUCUACUUUAAGUUUUUUUUGAUGAAAAACAUUAUUAAAUAUUGUAUAAUAGUUGUGUGAAUCAAAAUAAAAGGGUUAGAAUUUAAACCCUGGUCCUAUUAGGGUCAACCCUAUUUAAACCCUGUUUAAAAAAUGAGGGUUAGGGUUACAAAUGGAUUUGCAGGGUUAGGGCUAACCCUGUCACGUUGAGCCCAUAUUAACAUCCCUACUGAUUUCAUUGAUGGGUUUGUACGCUAUUUGUGGAGCUGGAAGCUCCUUUCUUCGCCAUGGAUUUGCCAUUCACAAGUACACUGCUAACAAAGGAAUGAAAGACUCUGCCUUUAUGGUGACUUCUUGUUUGUUCCUCAGGCUGGAAGUAAGUUAAGUCUCCAUGCCUUACUUUGAAUUUGUUGUAAAGCUCAUCUUUUGUGUAGGGCUAUGGAUUGAAACCGAGUGUGGGAGGGAGGCUUUUGGUAUCUCAUGGUGAAAUUGUUGUUAUACCACAAGGUUUCAGAUUCUCCAUUGAUCUACCUGACGGGUUAUGUUUCUGAAAUCUAUGGUGCUCAUUUUCAGCUUCCUGAUCUUGGACCUAUAGGUAGCUUAGCUACUCGAGUCCUUUGGGAUUCAUUCAACCUUGGUAAACAAGUGAGAGAAUAUUUAUCUUUGGAUGUGUGAAGGUGCUAAUGGUCUUUCUUGCUGCACCAAGAGAUUUUCUUGCACCAACGGCAUGGUUUGAGGAAGGACUACGGCCUGACUUCACAAUUGUUCACAAGUUUGGCGGCGAACUCUUUACUGCUAAACAAGAUUUCUCUCCCUUCAAUGUGGUCGCCUGGCACGGCAAUUACGUGCCUUAUAAGUAUGACCUGCAGAAGUUCUGCUCAUACAACACUGUCCUUAUAGAUCAUGGGGAUCCAUCAAUAAAUACAGUUCUUACAGCGCCGCCAACGGAUAAACCCGGUGUAGCUUUACUUGAUUUUGUCAUAUUCCCUCCUCGAUGGUUGGUUGCUGAGCACACUUUCCGACCUCCUUACUAUCUGCAUGAGUGAAUUUAUGGGCUUAAUCUAUGGUGCAUACGAGGCACUACGAGGCGACGAUUGAUUGCUCGUGUAGUAAAUGCAAUGGCUCCUACUAAACUCACAGGUACAAUGGCUUUCAUGUUCGAAUCAGCAUUGAUCCCCUCUGGAGUCUCCUUUCCUCGAUCACGACUACUAUCAGUGUUGGAUUCGACUCAAGUCCCACUUCUCCCGCAUAUCCUUGAACGAGACUAAUGUUGAACAAACAGAGAAAAGGACAGGAGCGUCAGAGUAAAUAAAAACAUAAACUCACGUGUCUUGCCAAUACCCACUCUGUACAGACCGCUACUAUAUGUUAAGCAUACAACAAGUAUAUAUGCAAUAAGUAGGUGAUGUUUCAUAUCA